UUUUCAAAAUUUCUAUUUGUAAGAAUAAGCUUUGUCAAAAGGAUACAUACACGCUGUAAAGCAUGAUACAAGGCAUUAUUCUCUAUUUUAUUUUAUUUUGAGUGAUUUUGAACCGAAAUUCCUCUCUCCCUCUUUUUCAGUCUUCUCAAUUUUCCUUCUUUCUGUUCUGUCAAAAUUGCCUUUCACACAUUAAAGAUGUGGUGGAAAUAUUUAAAAAAUAGAAUUAAGUUAUAACUUAUAAGUACAAGCCAAAGUUCACAGAUGUGUUAUAGAAAUUCAAACAAAAUGACGUGACAGGCUCAUUUAAAGAAAUAAUAAACAAAAGGAAAAUGUAUUACUUGCGCUAAGAAAAGCGAGAAGGAAGAAGAGCGCCAUUUCCCCAAAUGCCAAGAUAGAGAAACCUACCAUCCCUGAUCUCCACAUCUCCUACCAGCAUUCCGUCGCCGUUUACGCUACAUCUUCGGCCAACGAAUUGUCGACCACCCAAUAAAACCUGAGGAACGGAAAUAAUGGAAGAUGUAAAUUAUGAUUUGUUGCUGGAAUGUGAUAAUGAGAACAUUGCAGAGAAUUUGAAUAUGUUAGACAACGAAAUGUAGGAGGAGAUGUUGUGACUGUGCCUGAAGUUGGGUAUGAUGUUCAAUGAUGAGAAAGAAAUGUUUGAAUUCUAUAAAAGCUAUGCUUAUGCCGUAGGCUUUUCAGUGAGGAAAAUGAAUUCAGAAAAUGGGAAAGAUGAAUGUCACAUGUGUAGUCGUUAAAGUUAACGAACUUAUGCUACAGGCGGCUCCUUGAAGCCACAGCCAACAAGUUAAACGGAUUGUAAAGCAAGAAUAUCUGCAUCUUUGGAUGGUCUUGGAAUAUGGAGAAUUAAUAAAGUAUACCUAAACCACAAUCAUAAAACAAGACAUUCCAAGUUUAGGUUUUAUCGAUGCAACUGAAAAUUGAGUGCGAGUGUGAAAUGAAAGCUUGAAGUAAAUGACAUGGUAAGAAUUCUCUUCCACAUGUGUUAUAACUCCGCAGUGGUAAAAGCUAGUGGAUAUGAAAAAUACAACUUUUGUAGAGAAAGAUUGUCGAAAUUAUAUUGAAUUUGUGAGAUGAUUACGCCUUAGAGAAUGAGAUACCCUUACAAUACAGGCGUAUUUUUCAAAGAAGCAAGCACUUUGCUUGAAAUUUUACUUUAGUAUUGACUUAGAUGAUGAUGUAGACUAAAGAAUGCUUUUGGGUAGAUAAUAAGUGUAGACAUAUAAGGAGUUCGGUGAUGUUGUCACUUUGAUACUAUAUAUUUCACUAUAAUGGAGUGGAUAAAAUUGCAAGUAAAAGAUUUACGAAUGACAAAGUCAAGUGUAGGAAGUGUCGUCCACUCAUAGCAUAACAACAACAACGAAAAUAUAUUAGAUCCUAUGUCGUCGAACAGAAAGGACGCAUCAAAGAAACUUCAGAGGAAAGGCCCAUUAAAGUCUAGUUUAAAGAGAGUAAGGCCACCGCAUCGUUAAGCAAAGGAAAAAGGCCUCGAGCUAGGCAUAGUAAUACAGAAGAGGGAUCAAUCGAUGUCUAGGCAUCUCAACUACCACAAUGUUCUAUGUCGACGCCAUUGCAAUAUUUCGGCAGUCCGUCACCUACAAAUGUUAUAGUCAAUGCUGAAGACUUUGUCAUGCCAUACUUCUAUCAACAUUUACUCGAUCGAGGUGGCUGAGGCUUGUGAUUCUCGUAUGAAAGGUACAUGUGGACAAAUUUACUUGAUGCUAUUUUAUUUUUGGGCACUUAAGCCAUCUUUCUGUAUCAUAUGGUUGUAGUUGUGUGUAUGCUGCAGUACGAAGUGGAGAUCGUUCACAUCAUCCACUUUGAGAAGUGAAUACUGACUUUAUGACGAAAUUUCGGUGUAAUUAAUGUUGGACCUACUUUUUUUAUAAAAUAUAGGGUCGAGAAUUUGACUACCUUCUUUCAAUGUUUGUAUUGGAAAUAUAAUUAUUACAAUUUGAAGUUACUUGUUUAUGAAUGUUCAAUGUUGAGUAGCUAAUUGGCAGGCUUUAUGUGGUU